CACUCAGCAUAGGAAACGCAAGUGAAUCGGAGUAAAUGACAUUACAGUAGUACAAUCCAGCCAUAGUCCGGGAAAAACGCACUGAAUCGCGACUGUUUCCUAACUGAAUUAGAAUAAAACGAACGCUGCUAAGUACGUAGGCUAUAACCACGGCGUAUAAACAGCCUAUUAUGUUUUAUUCGUAUUUUUCACCGACAAAGUCGUCCCCCCACCCCGGACCGGAUUGCGCUACGUGCACACCACACCGCUGGAAAUAAAGUUGCAGCUGGAAAUAAAUGCAAUCCGUUUUGAAGUAUUUUUAUACAAAUGAGACUGUGAUGUUUUGGGCAACAGCUGGAGAACAACCCGGUUCUGUUGAAGUCGAGCAGCAGCAUUAUGUGCCCAAACCCAAUUUCUUCACAGCGCACCCCCAGAAAAAGACCCAAAACACAGAGUAGACACUUCGGAGCCCACAAAAGGCCCUACAGGUUUCAGUCCCAAUAAAAAAAAAUCACUACCAAAUCUAAAAAAAAAGAAGAAAAAAAAAGAAUUUUAACCACCAACCACUGUGAAGAGCGGGUGGUGCGUAUGUGAUUCCCUGAAGCACUGAAGAGACCCUCGUCUAGAUGACUAUUCAGAAGGGGGAUUCAUCCAGGCUGGACAACUAGGCCACUGUACCCAGACGGGAGCACUGGGCAAAACGGAGAAGUGACUUUUGAAAGUCUGGGGUCACAGAGUGUUUUUGGGGGCGCCCAGAAAGUUAAAACACAGCAGGAUAUAUACAGGUGGUAUAGUGGUUAGGAAAACCAGACAGGGGGGGGGGUUGUAAGGGGGAGUAGGAGGAGUGGCUGAGGAAGGGCACCCUGCCAGACACUCCGGCAGCAGAAUGUCUGAUUUCAGCUGAUAUAGCACGAAUAUCAGCAAAUAAAAUCUUGAGGUAAGGAACUAUAUGCAUUACUUUGAGUGAGAGCACCGUCUGCGCCGCUGAAAAUCAUGCAGGCGGUGUGAUCUGAUGGACAAGUGGAAGCUGGUUGGUCAGCAGUGUAACAUACAGCCCGCCUUGUGCACCGUUCCACAGAGUCAUUCACGGGAUGCUUGUUACUCUCCAUGACAGCAAGCAGAAGGCAGAGGAGUCCUCCAGGCACCUAAAUGUGAGCCCAGGCAGACUCUGCUCAAUCCAUGCCAGUGUCUGGAUGCUGGGAAGAUCUCCUUUACAUAGACUCACCUGACAGGAAUUCAUUUCUCUUUUGUUUUAUCAACAAAGCAAUGAAUUUUAAGUAUGGGGAAUUAUGUAUACAGCCCUUUAUCGACGGCCCUUCAUCUGAAAUUCAAAUGCGGCGCAAACAAAACUCUGUUGAACAAUUAUGUGCAAAGAGGACAUCUCGCCAGGAGGACGGCAUCUCCGUGGGCUGCACAUGGCCAUCGUGUGGCACCACGUUCCCGACGGCAGCAGCUGAGAAUAGCUUGGGGGGGGGGGUGUUUGACUGCUCUCGUCAAUAUCGAUCAACAUCAGAGGAUGGACUGGCCUCUCUGGAUCACUGGGCAUCUUUACAGGCAGCAGUUAAGCAGGACUCCAUGCUGAAGCAUCACAUGGAGGACAGAGAGUGACCCACUGGAAAAUAUGUGAAUUAUUAGAAUAAAUCAUUCAUCCAUCCAUCCAUCAUUCCAUAAUUGCUUAUCCAAUGUAUAGUCAAAGGCCCCAAAUAUCCUAUAUUUUCACCUGAAACAUCAACAAGCCAAUAGCUGAUCCUCUGUGGGAACCAGCAGAGGCUCAGUGGAAAAGACAGAGUUGGGCUGAUGAGCAGGACGGCAACAGCUGGAGCCAACCAUGGAAACAAAGGUAGGAUCAGCUGCUGAAAUCAGGUCGAUCCGCCCAGCAACAAGACCACCAUAAACUGAUGGGAAAUAAGACCCCAUAAAGCUUCUCAAGGCAAAGGAGCCCUCACUAUCAGAAACUAGGGGGAAAAUCCCGCAGGAUAUCUUCAACAAAUGUCAUUUUUUAACCCAGAAACCCUUUGAUCCAGAGUGGCUGUUUUUAAUAUUCAACAGCACGGUGCUAAAACAUUUUAUGCAAAUUAAAAUUAAAAAGUGGGUUAGCAAUGGGAUUAAUUAAUCCAUGGUCAAGGACGCACCAUUUCCAUGUUACCUGGACUGUUCCCCUGAAAAGCUUAAAAAAAGAGUCCUCAGUGAGUGCUGCAUUGCAAAUAUGCCUUAACGAGCACUAUAAAUGAGCAAUGUCAAAGCGGCAGUUAUUUAAUAGCAAUCAUUUAAACACAUUUCCCAUAGUGUGCCUUCAGAAUACAAAACAAAAAUAUGUAAUAUAUAUUGUCUCUGCCGUACAUAGGCAGACAAUGUGGGGAUAAUGAGGGCACUGUCCCUCCUGUCUGCACGCUGCAGUGCACCAAGCAUAUUACAGACGUUGCAUGAACGUUUCUGCAAGCAGCUUGUUACUAAGGGCGGUAUUAAUAUGGUGUUUGUGGUAAGACUCUGCCUGUCUGUCUUCUCAUUUUUCCAGUGGUUACUUUUAGUUUUUCUACGGCUGUGUGUAUGUCUGUUUCAAAACAGCCUCCCCCACCUCCCUGGACCAGCCUCUUCAAAUAAAGUCCUGUUUUAUUACAGCUUAACACUUUAACACAAGCAAACACCAAAGGGGGGAGGGGUAGGAGGUCCGGAUUAGGGGAUGCGGCGGAAAACCCAGAGCGCCGUGGGAUGCGGGGCUGCAUGUUCACGCUCGGGGCUGUCGUGCGCCGUCCUCGUGAG